CGGGCUUUAGCUCAGCGGCAGAGCGGCCGGCUGUAGACCGGCAGGUCCCGUGUUCAAAUCACGGAAGCCCGA
rnacentral:tRNA from 2 species